rnacentral:rRNA from 1 species
AUUGAACGCUGGCGGCAGGCUUAACACAUGCAAGUCGAGCGUGAAAGGGCUUCGGCCUGAGUAAAGCGGCGGACGGGUGAGUAACGCGUAGGAAUCUACCUGGUAGUGGGGGAUAACGUUCCGAAAGGAACGCUAAUACCGCAUACGUUCUGAGGAAGAAAGCAGGGGACCGCAAGGCCUUGCGCUAUCAGAUGAGCCUGCGUCCGAUUAGCUAGUUGGUGGGGUAAAGGCCUACCAAGGCGACGAUCGGUAACUGGUCUGAGAGGAUGAUCGGUCACACUGGAACUGAGACACGGUCCAGACUCCUACGGGAGGCAGCAGUGGGGAAUAUUGGACAAUGGGGGCAACCCUGAUCCAGCCAUGCCGCGUGUGUGAAGAAGGCCUUCAGGUUGUAAAGCACUUUAAGACUGGGAGGAAGGAUCCAUGGCUAAUACCCAUGGGGAUUGACGUUACCAGCAGAAUAAG